AAAGCGUGCGCAGGCGGUUAUAUAAGACAGAUGUGAAAUCCCCGGGCUCAACCUGGGACCUGCAUUUGUGACUGUAUAGCUAGAGUACGGUAGAGGGGGAUGGAAUUCCGCGUGUAGCAGUGAAAUGCGUAGAUAUGCGGAGGAACACCGAUGGCGAAGGCAAUCCCCUGGACCUGUACUGACGCUCAUGCACGAAAGCGUGGGGAGCAAACAGGAUUAGAUACCCCUGU
rnacentral:rRNA from 1 species